UAGGGGUUGCCCAUAUAACUCCUUCAUGGAUGCAGCCAAUCCAACCCAUGAGGUGAAAGGGAUAACAAAGCCACGCUGUGUGGGCAUAGCGACCACCUUCAUGUACUCUUGGUACAUUCUUGCUCUUCUAAAGAUUGAAUCUGUAAUACAGAGUGUGUAAGACUAGUGAUACGAAUUAAGUAAAGAUACAUCGUAACCUUGCACUGUAGUCACUCAUGCUUCAAUUAGUUUGAAAAAAGACUUAAACAUAAAAUCUUUGAAACAAUACCCGUACUCACAAAACAGAAAAGUAACUCAUUUGAGAAUCAAUACCAUCAUCAAAGAGACCUGUCAGACUUGCGCUUUGACAUCAUGAUGGAGAUGUUUUAAUUGAACUGAACAGAGAUUUGUGCAUGUGAAUUUUCCUUGGGACAUCCACCUUCUAUUAAAUGAAGCUACUUCUAGCCAGAGAUUGUCCGUGAAUUGGUACAGAUCACAAGGAAGCAAAUUAGAUAUACACCUUAUCUUCCUAAUUUGAUGAGGCUAAAAAAUUGACAUGGAUGGGUGUCUUGUAAACUUUCCCAUCUAAUUUUCUCAUUUUUGACUAACCACAAAAACAAAAUUAUUACACCUCCACUAUCCUCAAAAAAAAAUAUCUAUGUACACCUCCUCUUUUGCUUCCCCUCUCCACCAGCCCUUCUUCUCAUCUCAACUGAAACUCAAUUGUUGUUUGGCAAUAGAGUUUCUUGAUGCAAAGUAGUGUCUUUUUUUCUUAUUUCAUUUUAUAAGUAAUAACAUUUUCUUCUUCUGAAAGCUUUUCUUGAAUCGAAGUAUAAUAAUUGUCUCAUGAUCUAUUUAAUGGAGAAGAAAAACAAAAUCUAUACAAGCAAGCGAUGCAGCAUUUGCAUUUUAUGAAAAUCUCCUAAUUCUAAAAUUAUCUGAACCAUUUUCAAGGAUGCAGGAAACUUGUUUGACAGAAGAGAAUAAGUUAUUCAUCAUUUUCAGCCCGAAAUGAAGUUAAUGCUCCAUUGUUGUUAAAUCUCAUACAAAUCCAAAAUCAAGUUCUCUUAAUACUCAUACAGAUCCAAAAUCAAGAAUGAACAAACAGAAAAACCCUAUGUGCAUUAGCAAUUGGAAGCAAAAUGAUGAAAUAAGAGAUAUGAAAACUGUGAGGAGCUUAAAUGUCCUUCCACAUUCUCUUUGUGCACACUCAAUGAGCAGGCUCUCUGGUAGCUGGUGGUUGUGUCUGGACAUAAGCUGGAGAAAAAGGGAAAGAGACGGAGAAGGGAAGGUCAACAUACAGGAUAGACGAGAAAACUGGGAUCUCUGAUGAAGUAGGUACUUCAAUUAAUAUGCAGUCAAGAAUAUCUUUUUGCACCACGCAAAAAAAAAGAUAAAGGCCAACUUCCUCUUGAAGUGGCUGUAAUGGCGUUCCAGGAGUUGAUGCACUGGCGUUGGCUUGCUUUGAGGUUGGGCAAGGCAUGUUAGUAGGUAGGAAAGAAAUACCUUAAAGGAUAAGAUGUUAAAAUCGCUACGAGAAAUUGAAAAAGAAGCAAAAUGGGUUAGAGAAAAAGAGAUAAAUGAUCUCAAAGAGGGGAAGCAAAGGAGUUCGAUUCUCGAAUGCAUUCCCAAAGGAGAGGUUUGGGUAUUGGGUGGUGUCGAGGGCCAUAGAGGAGUUUUCGGAGUUCAUUGAUAAGCACCACUUUUUUUAUUUGCAUGUGGCAGGUAACUCUUUUAGUUGGUCCAGGUCAUAGGAUUCAACUUUUAGAUCAAGAAUAUGCAGAUUCCUUGUGUCUACUUCGGAGAUCCUAGAGCUUCCAGGAAUGGAGAUCCGAGAUCCUGGAGCACGUCAAUUUGAAUGUUGAUGCCUGUGUCCCUUUUGUUUCCCAUACGUGCUCUACAUCACUAGAAGAGGUGUCAUGAAGCAUUUAUGAAUCUUGUGAUGUUCUGGUCUACAUCCGACCAUCCAGCAUUAAAUGUCACCUCUGGAGUAAUAAUUAGGGCUUGACUACCCCCUCAUAUUGCAAUAAAACUGAUGUACCUUCCAAAUUCAUUGUUUAAAAGAGUGCAGAAAAAAUCACCACAAUGGUCCCUUUUUUUUUACCCCUCCCUAGGAACUCCCACCUCUUUUGCUCCCUUGGUGACUUUAACCCACAACCUUAGGGUUGGAGGUGAAGGGUGUUUAUCAUCCUAGCAACCCCCUCUUGUAACAUGAAAUGGUCCCUUAUUUUCCAUCAUCUGAUUGUCAACAGUUGUUCCUUGGAUGAUGUAUUAAUUACAUGACCAACCCACUCCAUAACUUUAAGGCUUAAAAUUACUCGCCUCUAUGAAUUUUUGUUGUGCUCGGACUCUUCCAAAAUGUCGACAAGUGCAUGUCGGAUCCUCCAAAAAUAAUGGAACUUUGAAGGAUCCGUCACGGGUCCGGCGUCAUUUUCGCAGAGUCCGAGCAACUUAGGUUUGACAUAUUCGAACAACGUUCUGAUUUUCGAGAAAGACUUGCCUGAUAUCAAAAGAUUCAAAACUGGCAUGGUAAUAAAUCGUAUCUUUCCCCAUUUAAAAAAGCCAUGAGUUUCUAAGCAGUCACUAGAAAAUGAUUGAAGAGAAACAGUCAUUGCCACUGUGAAAAUCCACUGAAAAGAACUAAAACUGACCGGAAAGAUGAAAUGAGGUGGCUGAAAGCUAUCAUAGAAGGUAUAUGUGCAUGGCAGCAUAGCUCCAAGGAGAAAAAAGGCAGUUAUCCUCCUUUUAGAUAUUAUUAGCCCUCUUACUCUGGAUCAGCAGAAAACUUUUAUAGUUUUGGUUAGAUUCAUGUUUUUCUGUACAAGGGAUUAACCAAGUUUAUCUUCUACUUGUAUUACAUCUUCUUGAUACCAUUAAUGCAACAAACACUUUACUUAAUCAAAGGAAAUAAUGGAAGUUCACCUUUGGCGCAUAUUCUAUACAUAGAUAAUACAAUUUUUUAGGAAGGAAAAUCAAACUGUUUACAAACUUUAUUUCAAAUCACUUCUAUCUGGAUGCUCUUAGCUUACAUUAAACAAGUGGAACCGAAGAGCUAUAGAUGAUAUAUGUUUAGCAAAAAAGCUUCAUAUUAAAAAGAUCCAGCGUAUUUGAACUUCAUUACAGAAUCCCAUAACACCAAAAACUGUAAGAUAAACUGUGGGAAAGAUGUACGAUGGAAUUGACAAAUUCAUUCUGCUUAACAUUCUACCAAUCUUUACUUAUGCAUGAACUGCUUGCUAAUGCAACUUUCAGCAAUCAACAGUUCGAAAUGAAAUCUUGACCAGAUAGUUAAAUUCCUAGGUCCAUCUUCGAUUCCCAAGCUUCAAUAUUAAAGGACACAACAUUAUGCUAACAGCCCAAUCAAAAUUCUCUACCUACACAAUAAAUCCCAAACAUAAUGAAGAGAAGAACUUUUUGUCUAUUUAUUUGGAAGUAACAAAGCAACACAUAUGUAGACACUUGUUCAGCAAGUAGAUUAAGAAAAUCACUAGACAAUCACAAUUAUGUGAACUAUGUCACUUACAUUCAGAAUCAAAUUUGCUAACAGGUUGAUCGAUGGUGAUGGUAUUUUUCAUCCAUUUGCUCUCCGUUAUCGUGUCAUCUGUAUUAGAGGAAGAUGAGUCACCCGAUGAUAUCUCCACCUGGUCACCAAAUGACACUGCUCCGUUCAUAACUG
rnacentral:lncRNA from 1 species